rnacentral:rRNA from 1 species
UAAGUCACUUUGUCUUUAUGGCAAAUGUGAGAUGCAGUGUAUGGAACGUCUAUAAUCUAGUAUGAGAAAUUAACGAUUUAAGUCCUUCUUAAAUGAGGCCAUUUACCCAUAGAGGGUGCCAGGCCCGUAUAACGUUAAUGAUUAUUAGAAGAUGUUUCCAAAGAGUCGUGUUGCUUGAUAGUGCAGCACUAAGUGGGUGGUAAACUCCAUCUAAAACUAAAUAUAACCAUGAGACCGAUAGUAAACAAGUACCGUGAGGGAAAGUUGAAAAGAACUCUGAAUAGAGAGUUAAAUAGUACGUGAAACUGCUUAGAGGUUAAGCCCGAUGAACCUGAAUAUCCAUUAUGGAAAAUUCAUCAUUAUGCCUAUUAUAUUAAUAAUAUAGUAGAAAUAGUGUGCAUUUUUUCUAUAUAAGGACAUUGUAAUCUAUUAACAUAAUAUAUAUUUAUCAAAAGAUUAUUUGCAAAUGUUUAUUCAAAUUAAUUUGCUUGCGAGUUAACAUAAAAUAAAUGCUUAUAAUUUGAUAAAGUGUUGAUAGAUUUAUUAUAUAUGGUGCUUAAAUUCCUUGUGAAUUUUACAAUGGCAUAAUUAUCUUAUGAUUUUAAUGUUUAUUGUAUGCAUUUAUAUGAUUAACAAUGCGAUAGAUUCAGGAUACCUUCGGGACCCGUCUUGAAACACGGACCAAGGAGUCUAACAUAUGUGCAAGUUAUUGGGAUUAUUUAUAUAAACCCAAAGGCGUAAUUAACUUAACUUGUUAUAAUGGGAUUAGUUUUUAGUCUAUUUAUAGUCUAUUAAUUCAAUCCCGGGGCGUUCUAUAUAGUUAUGUAUAAUAAUAUUUAUAUUAUUUAUUCCUCUAACUAGAGCGUACCUUAAGCAAAUAUGCUGUGACCCGAAAGAUGGUGAACUAUACUUGAUCAGGUUGAAGUCAGGGGAAACCCUGAUGGAAGACCGAAACAGUUCUGACGUGCAAAUCGANNNNNNNGAUAGAAUAAUGUAGGUAAGGGAAGUCGGCAAAUUAGAUCCGUAACUUCGGGAUAAGGAUUGGCUCUGAAGAUUGAGAUAGUCGGGCUUGAUUGGGAAGCAAUAACAUGGUUUACGUACUCGUUCUGAGUAAAUAGAGAUUUUCGGAUCUUGUUCCUCGGAUAGCAAAUGCGUAGCCAAUUGUGGAACUUUCUUGCUAAAAUUUUUAAGGAAUUUAUCGUUAGAUAUGUUCUUUUUUAAUUAUAACGAUUAUCAAUUAACAAUCAAUUCAGAACUGGCACGGACUUGGGGAAUCCGACUGUCUAAUUAAAACAAAGCAUUGUGAUGGCCCUAACGGGUGUUGACACAAUGUGAUUUCUGCCCAGUGCUCUGAAUGUCAAAGUGAAGAAAUUCAAGUAAGCGCGGGUAAACGGCGGGAGUAACUAUGACUCUCUUAAGGUAGCCAAAUGCCUCGUCAUCUAAUUAGUGACGCGCAUGAAUGGAUUAACGAGAUUCCUACUGUCCCUACCUACUAUCUAGCGAACCACAGCCAAGGGAACGGGCUUGGAAUAAUUAGCGGGGAAAGAAGACCCUGUUGAGCUUGACUCUAGUCUGGCAGUGUAAGGAGACAUAAGAGGUGUAGCAUAAGUGGGAGAUAAUUAAUUUCGGUUUUUUAUCGACAAUGAAAUACCACUACUCUUAUUGUUUCCUUACUUACUUGAUUAAAUGGAACGUGUAUCAUUGCUUAGCCAUAAUACGGAUAUAUUUAUAUAUCUUAUGGUAUUGGGUCUUGAUGCAAGCUUCUUGAUCAAAGUAUCACGAGUUUGUUAUAUAAUUGUAAACAAAUAUUUAAUCAAAUGAUAGCAUUUCGGUGUUAUUGUUAUAGUUAAAAUUUGGUAUGACUCCAACACUCAGAUAUGAUCCAAUUCAAGGACAUUUCCAGGUAGGGAGUUUGACUGGGGCGGUACAUCUCUCAAAUAAUAACGGAGGUGUCCCAAGGCCAGCUCAGUGCGGACAGAAACCACACAUAGAGCAAAA